GGAUGGCAAUCCUGCCCAUGCUUUGCCAGCUCAGUCAUGUGCUGGCAUGACUCUGCUGCUGUCCUAAGAAGGGCCUCAUCCCCAGGAUGCCGCCAGAGGAGCCUUUUUUCUUCAUUGUCACAAGGACAGGGGAUCUGGGACAUCUAGGUUGUGCUUGCGAGGUCCUCAGGGAAGCCUUCUGGACUGUCACCAGCGAGAGAUGGCUUCAUGGUGGCUGUUACAGUUUGAGGGACCUACCUGGGUGCUUCUGCUUAUCUUAACUGCUCUGGGCCUUCCGCACAGCUCUCACCUCAGGCGGUAAUUCCUGAACUCGCUCCACGCCUUCAUCCUAUCGUGCCUCCCUGCCUUUGUUUAGGCUCUGAAUGGGAUUCCUUUUACCAAUAAAUUUAUCUGAUAAGCUCUC
rnacentral:lncRNA from 1 species